UACAGAGGGGGCAAGCGUUAUUCGGAAUUAUUGGGCGUAAAGGGCGCGUAGGCGGCCUGGCAAGUGGAUGGUGAAAUCCCUCGGCUUAACCGAGGAACUGCCAUCCAGACUGCUUGGCUUGAGACCGGGAGAGGUGAGUGGAAUUCCCAGUGUAGCGGCGAAAUGCGUAGAUAUUGGGAGGAACACCAGUGGCGAAGGCGGCUCACUGGACCGGUACUGACGCUGAGGCGCGAAAGCGUGGGGAGCAAACGGG
rnacentral:rRNA from 1 species